CUACGGGGGGCAGCAGUGGGGAAUAUUGGACAAUGGGGGAAACCCUGAUCCAGCAAUGCCGCGUGUGUGAAGAAGGCCUGCGGGUUGUAAAGCACUUUCGGUUGGGAGGACUGCUUCUAGCACUAAUAUUGUUGGAAGUUGACGUUACCUUCAGAAGAAGCACCGGCUAACUCCGUGCCAGCAGCAGCGGAAAUACGGAGGGUGUAAGCGUUAAUCGGAAUUACUGGGCGUAAAGCGCGCGUAGGCGGCUAGAUCAGUCGGGUGUGAAAGCCCCGGGCUUGACCUGGGAACUGCAUCCGAUACUGUCUAGCUUGAGUACAGGAGAGGAGAGUGGAAUUCCACAUGUAGCGGUGAAAUGCGUAGAUAUGUGGAGGAACACCAAUGGCGAAGGCAGCUCUCUGGCCUGAUACUGACGCUGAGGUGCGAAAGCGUGGGGAGCAAGCAGGAUUAGAUACCCUAGUAGUC
rnacentral:rRNA from 1 species